rnacentral:rRNA from 1 species
GAAACAGGUUAAUAUUCCUGUACUCGGUGUUACUGCGAAGGGGGGACGGAGAAGGCUAUGUUGGCCGGGCGACGGUUGUCCCGGUUUAAGCAUGUAGGCGGAUGUUCCAGGUAAAUCCGGAACGUUACUAACGCUGAGGUGUGAUGACGAGGCACUACGGUGCUGAAGUGACAAAUGCCCUGCUUCCAGGAAAAGCCUCUAAGCAUCAGGUAACAUCAAAUCGUACCCCAAACCGACACAGGUGGUCAGGUAG